rnacentral:snRNA from 1 species
GUGCUUGCUUCGGCAGCACAUAUACUAAAAUUGGAAAGAUACAGAGAAGAUUAGUAUGGCCCCUGCACAAGAAUGACACACAAAUUCGUGAAGCGUUCCAUAUUAAA